rnacentral:lncRNA from 1 species
CUGUGACCUUGACCAGUUGCUGUUUAACAGAAAAUCUGUGUUAAAAAUAUUCUUUUUUCAUAUAAAACGUUACCAAAUGUUAGGUUUUAAUCCUAGACUUUAUCCUUUCAUAAACAAUAAAUUUGGGUAACUGGUGUGGCAAUUAUCGUAUGAAAUGUUAUGGAUACAAGAACCCAUUACCAUCCAAGUAAACAAGUCAUCAAAUACAGUUAUAUUUUGCAGUUUUGUGACAAGAAGAAAAGAAAGUUUGUGAAACUAAGUAUUUGUCAUUCUGUCUUCUUCAUACUUUCCAAACCAUAUCAUAUGAAAUGAUAAUGAAAUCUUGUGUCCAAGCUUUG